rnacentral:rRNA from 1 species
GGCUUAACACAUGCAAGUCGAGGGGCAGCAUGGUCUUAGCUUGCUAAGGCCGAUGGCGACCGGCGCACGGGUGAGUAACACGUAUCCAACCUGCCGUCUACUCUUGGACAGCCUUCUGAAAGGAAGAUUAAUACAAGAUGGCAUCAUGAGUCCACAUGUUCACAUGAUUAAAGGUAUUCCGGUAGACGAUGGGGAUGCGUUCCAUUAGAUAGUAGGCGGGGUAACGGCCCACCUAGUCUUCGAUGGAUAGGGGUUCUGAGAGGAAGGUCCCCCACAUUGGAACUGAGACACGGUCCAAACUCCUACGGGAGGCAGCAGUGAGGAAUAUUGGUCAAUGGGCGAGAGCCUGAACCAGCCAAGUAGCGUGAAGGAUGACUGCCCUAUGGGUUGCAAACUUCUUUUAUAAAGGAAUAAAGUCGGGUAUGCAUACCCGUUUGCAUGUACUUUAUGAAUAAGGAUCGGCUAACUCCGUGCCAGCAGCCGCGGUAAUACGGAGGAUCCGAGCGUUAUCCGGAUUUAUUGGGUUUAAAGGGAGCGUAGAUGGAUGUUUAAGUCAGUUGUGAAAGUUUGCGGCUCAACCGUAAAAUUGCAGUUGAUACUGGAUAUCUUGAGUGCAGUUGAGGCAGGCGGAAUUCGUGGUGUAGCGGUGAAAUGCUUAGAUAUCACGAAGAACUCCGAUUGCGAAGGCAGCCUGCUAAGCUGCAACUGACAUUGAGGCUCGAAAGUGUGGGUAUCAAACAGGAUUAGAUACCCUGGUAGUCCACACGGUAAACGAUGAAUACUCGCUGUUUGCGAUAUACUGCAAGCGGCCAAGCGAAAGCGUUAAGUAUUCCACCUGGGGAGUACGCCGGCAACGGUGAAACUCAAAGGAAUUGACGGGGGCCCGCACAAGCGGAGGAACAUGUGGUUUAAUUCGAUGAUACGCGAGGAACCUUACCCGGGCUUAAAUUGCAGAUGAAUUACGGUGAAAGCCGUAAGCCGCAAGGCAUCUGUGAAGGUGCUGCAUGGUUGUCGUCAGCUCGUGCCGUGAGGUGUCGGCUUAAGUGCCAUAACGAGCGCAACCCUUGUUGUCAGUUACUAACAGGUUCUGCUGAGGACUCUGACAAGACUGCCAUCGUAAGAUGUGAGGAAGGUGGGGAUGACGUCAAAUCAGCACGGCCCUUACGUCCGGGGCUACACACGUGUUACAAUGGGGGGUACAGAGGGCCGCUACCACGCGAGUGGAUGCCAAUCCCAAAAACCUCUCUCAGUUCGGACUGGAGUCUGCAACCCGACUCCACGAAGCUGGAUUCGCUAGUAAUCGCGCAUCAGCCACGGCGCGGUGAAUACGUUCCCGGGCCUUGUACACACCGCCCGUCAAGCCAUGGGAGCCGGGGGUACCUGAAGUGCGUAACCGCGAGGAGCGCCCUAGGGUAAAACUGGUGACUGGGGCUAAGUC